rnacentral:rRNA from 1 species
UACAAAGGGUGCGAGCGUUAAUCGGAAUUACUGGGCGUAAAGCGGGCGCAGGCGGUCUCGUAAGACAGGUGUGAAAUCCCCGGGCUCAGCCUGGGAACGGCGCUUGUGACUGCGAGGCUAGAGUGCGGAAGAGGGAGGUGGAAUUCCACGUGUAGCAGUGAAAUGCGUAGAGAUGUGGAGGAACACCGAUGGCGAAGGCAGCCUCCUGGGCCAGCACUGACGCUCAUGCACGAAAGCGUGGGGAGCAAACAGG